CGACCGGCGCACGGGUGAGUAACACGUAUGCAACCUGGCCGUCACAGGUGGAUAACCGGAAGAAAUUCCGACUAAUACAGCAUAACACUCCUGAGGGACAUCCUUCGGGAGUCAAAGGAGGCAACUCCGGUGACGGAUGGGCAUGCGGCGCAUUAGGUAGUUGGUAGGGUAACGGCCUACCAAGCCGACGAUGCGUAGGGGUUCUGAGAGGAAGGUCCCCCACAUUGGAACUGAGACACGGCCCAAACUCCUACGGAAGGCAGCAG
rnacentral:rRNA from 1 species